CAGUGGCGAACGGGUGAGUAACACGUGAGCAAUCUGCCCCUGACUCUGGGAUAAGCGCUGGAAACGGCGUCUAAUACCGGAUACGAGCUGCGAAGGCAUCUUCAGCAGCUGGAAAGAAUUUCGGUCAGGGAUGAGCUCGCGGCCUAUCAGCUUGUUGGUGAGGUAAUGGCUCACCAAGGCGUCGACGGGUAGCCGGCCUGAGAGGGUGACCGGCCACACUGGGACUGAGACACGGCCCAGACUCCUACGGGAGGCAGCAGUGGGGAAUAUUGCACAAUGGGCGAAAGCCUGAUGCAGCAACGCCGCGUGAGGGAUGACGGCCUUCGGGUUGUAAACCUCUUUUAGCAAGGAAGAAGCGAAAGUGACGGUACUUGCAGAAAAAGCGCCGGCUAACUACGUGCCAGCAGCCGCGGUAAUACGUAGGGCGCAAGCGUUAUCCGGAAUUAUUGGGCGUAAAGAGCUCGUAGGCGGUCUGUCGCGUCUGCUGUGAAAACCCGAGGCUCAACCUCGGGCCUGCAGUGGGUACGGGCAGACUAGAGUGCGGUAGGGGAGAUUGGAAUUCCUGGUGUAGCGGUGGAAUGCGCAGAUAUCAGGAGGAACACCGAUGGCGAAGGCAGAUCUCUGGGCCGUAACUGACGCUGAGGAGCGAAAGGGUGGGGAGCAAACAGGCUUAGAUACCCUGGUAGUCCACCCCGUAAACGUUGGGAACUAGUUGUGGGGUCCAUUCCACGGAUUCCGUGACGCAGCUAACGCAU
rnacentral:rRNA from 1 species